rnacentral:lncRNA from 1 species
UAAAUACACUUUUAGAUUGUCCUACAUCUUUGGAAGCAAAAUUAAAUCUCUGCUUAGAUUUACUGACAUUCUUCAAACCUGGAUUUGAACUUUGUUGUUUUAAUUUUUCUUUGUUAACAGAGUGCAUGACUCUGAGUUUUCUUCCCAUUAGCUCAGAAUUGUUUAAUUUUAGAGCAAGAUGAACAGCAUCUGUGUUCUGGAAAAAAAAAGUCAAUACAUUAAUUUCCACCAGAAGCUCAUCUGCAAACAGACUACUAGUAAAAUUUCAUCCUUAAUAGAGGAGAAUAAUCUUCAGGCCUGCACAGAGAAGCCCCUCCUACUGCUAGAAGUUCAAUUCUACGCGUUCUUUGGAUCAUGGUCUACACAGGUUUUCUCGGAGACACUCAAGCUGCCUCAAAAUUUUCAGUUUUCAACAAACUGCUUCAUUAGUUGUUCAAAUAAUUGGCUUCAAUUUUUAAAGCUGGGAGGUGGAGAGACUGAUGGCUCCUGGAUUUCAGCCUCACACAAAAUGAACGGCUGUAUCUCACCAAGUUUCCCAUUUCCAUCAGCAUCUGGACAAUGCCUUCUAUCUAGGAGGAGCUACAGAUUUGGCUACCACAAUAAACAAGACUGUGGGACCUUUAAGGAUCAAUGGACUAAGUAAAGAAAACUUUAUGGAAGAGGCAGAAAUUCAAGUUAACAACUAUAUAAUAUGCUAAAUCAGCCAAGUACUGAAAAAGACACCAGCCCUGCAAGUCAGUCUAGAAUCAUCCAUGAAUGCAAAUCUCACCCAGGGCAGUGCUUAUGAACCUCCUCUAGAAAAUAUUUUUUUUCCAUAGUCACCUAACAGUUUAUACAGUAAAACUAAAAACACUGUACUAUUUCCUCUCUUCUGUGUGUCUUACUCAAAUCACUGGCAUACAAACUAUCACAAAAG